UACGUAGGGCGCAAGCGUUGUCCGGAAUUAUUGGGCGUAAAGAGCUCGUAGGCGGUCUGUCGCGUCGGCUGUGAAAACUCGGGGCUCAACCCCGAGCCUGCAGUCGAUACGGGCAGACUAGAGUGCUGUAGGGGAGACUGGAAUUCCUGGUGUAGCGGUGAAAUGCGCAGAUAUCAGGAGGAACACCGGUGGCGAAGGCGGGUCUCUGGGCAGUAACUGACGCUGAGGAGCGAAAGCGUGGGGAGCGAACAG
rnacentral:rRNA from 1 species